GGGGGAUAUGGCGAAAUCGGUAGACGCUACGGACUUAAAAAAUCCGUCGACUUUCAAAAUCGUGAGGGUUCAAGUCCCUCU
rnacentral:tRNA from 1 species